rnacentral:rRNA from 1 species
CAGUAGCCACGGUAAUACGGAGGGGGCUAGCGUUGUUCGGAAUUACUGGGCGUAAAGCGCACGUAGGCGGCUUGGUAAGUUAGAGGUGAAAGCCCAGGGCUCAACUCUGGAAUUGCCUUUAAGACUGCCGAGCUAGUAGGUGAGAGAGGUGAGUGGAAUUCCGAGUGUAGAGGUGAAAUUCGUAGAUAUUCGGAAGAACACCAGUGGCGAAGGCGGCUCACUGGACGACUGUUGACGCUGAGGUGCGAAAGCGUGGGGAGCAAACAGGAUUAGAUACCCCCGUAGUCCCUGUCUCUUAUAC